rnacentral:misc_RNA from 1 species
AACCUCACCCCACUUGGGUUUUUGCCUGAGUGGUUGGUGGAUUGGGCGUCUGCCGUCACCGGCUCGCCUGAAAAGCAUAAGCGCCUUGGAUGUAAUACGUUUCAUCCUCUUGGGUGGCUGAUAACCCCACAUAUCUCAUG